AGGACGAACGCUGGCGGCGUGCUUAACACAUGCAAGUCGAGCGGAAAGGCCCUUCGGGGUACUCGAGUGGCGACCGGGUGAGUAACACGUGACUACCUACCCUUGAGUGGGGAUAACCUCGGGAAACCGAGGCUAAUACCGCAUAAUAUCGAAAGAUCAAAGGAGUAAUCCGCUUUUGGAGGGGGUCGCGGCUGAUUAGCUAGUUGGUAGGGUAAUGGCCUACCAAGGCGAAGAUCGGUAUCC
rnacentral:rRNA from 1 species